rnacentral:rRNA from 1 species
CCUACGGGAGGCAGCAGUGAGGAAUAUUGGUCAAUGGACGCAAGUCUGAACCAGCCAUGCCGCGUGCAGGAAGACGGCUCUAUGAGUUGUAAACUGCUUUUGUACGAGGGUAAACGCAGAUACGCGUAUCUGUCUGAAAGUAUCGUACGAAUAAGGAUCGGCUAACUCCGUGCCAGCAGCCGCGGUAAUACGGUGGAUUCAAGCGUUAUCCGGAUUUAUUGGGUUUAAAGGGUGCGUAGGCGGUCGGAUAAGUUAGAGGUGAAAUCCCGAGGCUCAACUUCGGAAUUGCCUCUGAUACUGUUCGGCGAGAGAGUAGUUGCGGUAGGCGGAAUGUAUGGUGUAGCGGUGAAAUGCUUAGAGAUCAUACAGAACACCGAUUGCGAAGGCAGCUUACCAAGCUACUUCUGACGUUGAGGCACGAAAGCGUGGGGAGCAAACAGGAUUAGAUACCCGGGUAGUC